CCUACGGGAGGCAGCAGUGAGGAAUAUUGGUCAAUGGACGAGAGUCUGAACGAGCAAUGUCGCGUGAAGGAUGACUGCCCUCUGGGUUGUAAACUUCGUUUAUAUGGGAAUAAAGUGUUGCACGUGUAGGAUUUUGUAUGUACAUUAUGAAUCAGGAUCGGCUAACUCCGGUCCGGCAGCCGGGGUAAUACGGAGGAUCCGAGCGUUAUCCGGAUUUGUUGGGUUUGAAGGGAGUGUUGGGGGGUUGGUAAGUCAGUUGUGAAAGUUUGCGGCUCAACCGUAAAAUUGCAGUUGAAACUGGCAGUCUUGAGAACAGUAGAGGUGGGCGGAACUCGUGGUGUAGUGGUAAAAUGCUUAGAUAUCACGAAGAACUCCGAUUGCGAAGGCAGCUCACUGGACUGCAACUGACACUGAGGCACGAAAGUGUGGGGAUCAAAUAGGAUUAGAUACCCGUGUAGUC
rnacentral:rRNA from 1 species